rnacentral:rRNA from 1 species
CAUAACGUCGCAAGACCAAAGAGGGGGACCUUCGGGCCUCUUGCCAUCGGAUGUGCCCAGAUGGGAUUAGCUAGUAGGUGGGGUAACGGCUCACCUAGGCGACGAUCCCUAGCUGGUCUGAGAGGAUGACCAGCCACACUGGAACUGAGACACGGUCCAGACUCCUACGGGAGGCAGCAGUGGGGAAUAUUGCACAAUGGGCGCAAGCCUGAUGCAGCCAUGCCGCGUGUAUGAAGAAGGCCUUCGGGUUGUAAAGUACUUUCAGCGGGGAGGAAGGGAGUAAAGUUAAUACCUUUGCUCAUUG